rnacentral:tRNA from 1 species
AAAACUUUAAGUUAAUAAAACUAAUAGCCUUCAAAGCUAUAAAUAAAAGAUAUCCUUUUAAGUUUUA